rnacentral:rRNA from 1 species
GACGAACGCUGGCGGCGUGCCUAAUACAUGCAAGUCGAACGGUUUAGUGCCAAGAGGCUUGCCUUUUGGAACUCGACAGUGGCGUACGUGUGAGUAACACGUAGUCCACCUACCUGUCAAACCGGGAUAACCUCGGGGAACCGAAGCUAAACCCGGAUAAGCUCCUUUUUCGCAUGAAGUGGGAGUGAAAAUUUGCGACCUGAUUACAUAUGGGCCUGCGUCGAAUUAGCUAGUAGGUAGGGUAACGGCCUCCCAAGACGAUGAUGCGUAGCCGACAUGAGGGGGCGUACGGCUACAAUGGGACUGAGAUACGGACCAGACUCCUAGGGGAGGCAGCAGUAGGGAAUCUUAGGGAAUGGGCGAAAGCCUGACCGAGCAACGCCGCGUGAGUGAGGAAGGCCUUCGGGUUGUAAAACUCUGUUGUUUGGGAAGAAGGGAAAGGGUAGGACCCUUUGGUGACGGUACCAAACGAGAAAGCCCCGGCUAACUACGUG